UUGCGAUUAGGUACUCUAUUAACCUAUCCUGUGUGAAUAAUCUCAGGCAUUCAAUUGCGAAUAAAAGAAACAAGGCAUUCAAUUGCGAAGAAAAAGGAACAAAGCAUUCAAUUGCGGAGAAAAACAAAAAAAGAGAACAAGGCAUUCAAUUGCAAAAGGUUACCUCGCAUUAAAUUGCAUGCAUUAAAUUGCGGUUUGUUAAUAAAAAGAACGUUACCAGUGAACCUCGAGUUAAAGACCAUUGAUCAGUUAGUCAAUAAUUAAAAAAAAAAAAAAAAAGGGUGGUUGCAAUGGCGCAACAGUA